rnacentral:rRNA from 1 species
GUCUACAGCCAUACCACCCUGAACGCGUCCGAUCUCGUCUGAUCUCAGAAGCUAAGCAGGGUCAGCCUGCUUAGUACUUGGAUGGGAGAAAAAAAGCAAAAAGUUAAACCUGAAAAGG